rnacentral:rRNA from 1 species
AGAGUUUGAUCCUGGCUCAGGAUGAACGCUAGCUACAGGCUUAACACAUGCAAGUCGAGGGGAAACGGACAUCGAAAGCUUGCUUUUGAUGGGCGUCGACCGGCGCACGGGUGAGUAACGCGUAUCCAACCUGCCCAUCACUUGGGGAUAACCUUGCGAAAGUAAGACUAAUACCCAAUGACGUCUCUAGAAGACAUCUGAAAGAGAUUAAAGAUUUAUCGGUGAUGGAUGGGGAUGCGUCUGAUUAGCUUGUUGGCGGGGUAACGGGCCCACCAAGGGCGACGAUCAGUAGGGGUUCUGAGAGGAAGGUCCCCCACAUUGGAACUGAGACACGGUCCAAACUCCUACGGGAGCA